AUUGAACGCUGGCGGCAGGCCUAACACAUGCAAGUCGAACGAGCGGCGGACGGGUGAGUAAUGUCUGGGAAACUGCCCGAUGGAGGGGGAUAACUACUGGAAACGGUAGCUAAUACCGCAUACCAUCGGAUGUGCCCAGAUGGGAUUAGCUAGUAGGUGGGGUAACGGCUCACCUAGGCGACGAUCCCUAGCUGGUCUGAGAGGAGGAUCAGCCACACUGGAACUGAGACACGGCCCAGACUCCUACGGGAGGCAGCAGUGGGGAAUAUUGCACAAUGGGCGCAAGCCUGAUGCAGCCAUGCCGCGUGUAUGAAGAAGGCCUUCGGGUUGUAAAGUACUUUCAGCGGGGAGGCGUUACCCGCAGAAGAAGCACCGGCUAACUCCGUGCCAGCAGCCGCGGUAAUUC
rnacentral:rRNA from 1 species